rnacentral:misc_RNA from 1 species
AGACGCAACUAGCUAAAGAGGAGUUAAGAGAAAUAGUACAUUUGGAAUUAGGAAAGCAGUAUAUAUUCUAUGAUAAUAUGAAACUGCAAUGCCUAUGGGAUAUCAAGGUCUAAGACAAGACUUUCUGAACAGAAACCUUAACUCUUCUUUUGAGAUGAUAUUCAUUUGACGUUCAUAGGAGACUAUUUUCUGGCCUGAAUUUUAUUGUGAAUAUCUGACCUUGUGUGGCCACAUUAGCCCUGAAUAUUAUUGUGAAUGUAUGACCUUGUAUUAUCACAUCCUAUAUUAAAAUAAUUUUGCAGUGACUAUUGAUAAAUUUGGAAGAUGUCUUCCUUUGUCUAGUGUUUAAAUUUGGAGUGCAAAACUGAUUAUUGUUGGAAAUUUUUCUUGGUUGGAGGUGAACAAUUGAAGGUUGGCUUUUACUUGUGAUUUGCAAUUAUAUAAAAUAAUCAACUUCUGUUUGGGCCUCAAUGCUUGGAAACCAUUUGGAUAAAACUGGCAGUUGGUCAUUAGGCAGUGGACCAAAAGUUUUGUGCCUAACUCAUAAUGCAAGAGGUUGGGAGUUUAAACAUUGAAAUCACAUUUUCUUGAACGAAAAAGAAAUCCAGCUACCUUUUGGAUGCUGCCAAAAAGAUUGCCUAUGGCAAAAUAUGCCUGGUUAGAUGAUUUUGGACAAGCUAACAGUUAACAUUCUUCACCUUCCAUGGUUUGCACAUUGCAAUAACUUUUGUUGACUUCUUUAUUAGUUUUCUUGUUCAUUGAAGUUGUAGGAGACAAGAAAGUGAUGAGCAAACCUAGGAUGACAAGAGUGGAAGUAGGUAAAAAAAAUGCAUGAGCACUAGAUCUUUCUGAAGAUGUAAUCCUAAUUUCCCAAAGUGGGUGAAUGGAGGAAAAUAAUCUUUAUGGGCGAUAUCCACUAGUUUGGGAUUAAGGGUUAGUUGAGUUGAGUUCAUUGAUGUGAAUGAAAUAAACUUAGUUACUUUACUGUCAAAAUUGUAUUUGCAAUAAUUUCAUUGGGCUUAUUUGUAAGUGAUUAUGUUAUAUAGUCCUCAUUGUUAAUAAUUUUUUCUUAUAAUUUGAUUUUUAAUUUUAAUAAUUGCCCUUGUGGAUAGUGGGGCAUUAGUGAAGAAUUUACUCUGUGCAGAUUACAACUGAUGACUUACUAC